rnacentral:lncRNA from 1 species
GAAAACAUAGAUUGUGCACAUACUUGUUUUAACUGAAGCUAAGGAAUAUUGCACGUUUUGUGAAAAUAAAUAGUCCAAUGACCAAAAUAAUCUGUUUUCUCGGCCGGGCGCAGUGGCUCACAUCUGUAAUCCCAGCACUUUGAGAGGCUGAGGUGGGCAGAUCACCUGAGGUUGGAAGUUCGAGACCAGCCUGACCAACAUGGAUAAAACCUGGCUCUACUAAAAACACAAAAUUAGCCAGGCAUGUUGGCGCAUGCCUGUAAUCCCAGCUACUCCGGAGGCUGAGGCAGGAGAAUCACUUGAACCUGGGAGUUGGAGGUUGCGGUGAGCCGAG